UCCAUACCUUAGGGUGAGGCAGGCGC
rnacentral:piRNA from 1 species